rnacentral:rRNA from 1 species
GACAGAGGGUGCAAACGUUGUUCGGAAUUACUGGGCGUAAAGGGCGUGUAGGCGGUCAGGUAAGUGGGAUGUGAAAUCCCUCGGCUCACCCGAGGACCUGCAUCCCAAACUGCCUGGCUUGAGUAUGGGAGAGGAUGAGGGAAUUCCUGGUGUAGCGGUGAAAUGCGUAGAUAUCAGGAGGAACACCGGUGGCGAAGGCGCUCAUCUGGCCCAAUACUGACGCUGAGGCGCGAAAGCUAGGGGAGCAAACGGG